GGAGCCGGCCCGGCCCGGCCCGCCCAGCCACGCGUCACCACGCUCCGCCCCACCGCGGGGCGGCGCUGCCUUAAAGCGGCGAUGGCCGUGAGGGGACCACCGCGGUGCGCGGGGGCUGAGGCGGGAUAGAGCAGGUGUUCUUAACUGCAGCCAUGGACCUGUCUGGAGCCCGCAGAUCCCAGUGGCCCUGGUGUCAAACCACCUCCCCCCCGCUGCAGAGUGAGCAUCCUGAAGUGCACCUCGGCUGAGGUAGUUGGGGUCUUUCCAUGCUUUUCUUUUCAGGACGCCUCUGUCAAGAGUGAUGGGUACCAGCUCCCCUCAGCUUUAUUUAGAUUUGGGGUCCCCCACCACAUUUCUCUGCCUAUCUCUUUCCCCUCUCACUUUGGUGGGAAACAUUUCAGGAUGGGGAACAUCCCUACCUGGGUUUGCAUGUGCCUACGCACCGCGCUCCUGAGAUUCCCUCUGUGCCACAAUAAAAACCAAUGUUGCGAAUGACGAAACCUAGCCCAGCUCCUGGGGCUGAGCUGGACCUGAUUGCUGUGCUGCACAUCCUGUGGACAGCCCCUGCCCCAAGCAGCAGGCAGCAAGGUGAGGGGAAGGUGGGAGGAACAAAAAUGUGCUGGGAUGGGAGGGGAACCCAAUGCUUGAAGCCUGGCGGGCCCAUUCCCACAGAGCAAUCCUGCAGGAGCUGGAGUGUAUCUGAAAACUCAAUGGAAGGCUUUAGGAGCACAGGGUUGGAGGCAGCUGGGGUCACCCCACAGAGUGUCAGAGGCAUGGGAUGUACAGAAAUUUUGUUCGUUAUUUAGGGCUGUGGACCCCAGUGCUCUGCUGAUGAAUGGGGCAAAGAAAACACUGGACAUCUCCUUCAUCCUGGGGGAUAUCCAGGGUGGAAUGGACAUGUCUGGACAACUCCAGGUGGGAAAACCAAGCCCGGGGUUGGAGCCCAGGCUGCCCAUCCAGAUGUGGGGCAUCCACCAUACCACUGGCUGCGGUGCCAGGGUGAUGCUCACCGCCCUAUCCAAGAUUGGGGUCGCUGGGAGCCAGGCAGUACGGCUCCCCUGCCUGGUGGGGUUUCUUUCUAUGGAAAUGCCUGCGAGCAGCUGCCCUGCCGAGUGACUCAUUUCCUGCUCUUGUGUCACAUUCUGGUCAGGCCAGUUUGGCAAAGGCUUUUUUCUCUCCCUCGCUGCCUUUCUCUCCUUCUCUCCCCCACCGCGGAGGCCUGGGAUGUGCAUUCACUCAGCCCCUGGCAGGAUGAGGCAGGAUUUUCAGGAAACUGCGUCAAAACCACAAACCUCCAAAAAAAAAAAAAAAAAAUCCAAACAAACAACAAUAAAAAAACCAGAACGGUUUUCUUUUUUUCUUUUUUGGGAGCGAGGGAGGCCGGUGGCUGGGCGGGCUCCUCCUCGCUUUCCCAAAAACAAAGUUCUCUGGACAGCAGCUCUGCUCAUGCGGAGUUCUGUGUUCCCUGGUGGCUGCCCAGGGCUCUGGCUGUGCCACAUCCCCAGAAGCCAUGGGACUGAUAUAGGUUGGUCAGGAACGUGGCCCCAGCAUCCCUCCCUGCAGCUUUUUCCGCACACCUCAAUCUCUGCAGCACAAGGUUCCCUUGUACCCGUGGGGUGGUAGGACAGCAGGAGCAGGGCACGAUCCCAUCCAAGGCAAGGCAAACCCUCUGUAAUCUUUGCUCCUGAGCAAUUCUCAUCCUCCCUCUUCCUUUUCUGCAUGCUCCGUGCAAUUAAAGCAGGCUACAGCCAAAUGACCUGGCAUCACUUGCAUGCUAAAAAGCCCCCCGCUGGGCCGCUACCAAGCUUCCUUUGAACAGCCACGUGCUCCUAGGGCUGCAGGCAGCAUCUGCUGUCAUGCAAACCCAUGGCCCUGCUUGGUGCAGGGAAACUGAGGCAGGGAAGGGGCAGGUGCUCGCCUGCAGCUCGCACAACUGCAGUGCUCGAAAGCCAAAGGGUUUUGUUUGCCCACAGCCAUGGGAAGAGCACGACGGUAUCAGCAUAAAUUAGGUCAGGAAGCAUUGCUAAUAAAAUGUCAAUCCUGGUUGUGUAAUGGGAGCAAUUAUGGGUUUAGGUCUCAUUAGGACACCGGGAAGGAAAACAUGGCUGGUCUGAGGGCAGCAGGAGUGUGAUGGCAAACAAUGACGAGGGUCCUGUUGACAGAAGGAUGAAGCCAUUCUGGUGUCCAAGGAGUUCCCUCACCACAUCACUGGGUUGGGACUGUAGGGAGUGGGGCUCUGCCCCUCACCUAGGACUCAGGUCCCCAUCCUGAGUCCCCAGUUGCCACCAUUCCUGGGGUCCCAUCCAGUGCCUGAUGGGGACAGAGCCUGGGGGCUCAUAUACAGAAGGGACAGUGGGGAUGGAGUGCCUGGUGGCAGCGGCGAGCCUUUAGCCACAGACAUACAGCACAGGCUAAAGGGAAUUGUGGAGGCAUCCAUGAACACAGAGAGUUGUAUGUUGCGUUCGGUCCCACUUACGGCUUAUAAAUGAUUACUGCAUGUUUUAAUAAAUGGUUAAUCAAGUGUUAAGAGUCCAAA